GCCCCUAUCGUCUAGUGGCCCAGGACGAAGCCCUCUCAAGGCUUAAACCGGGAUUCGAAUUCCCGUAGGGGCACAA
rnacentral:tRNA from 1 species